GCUACAUGUGUCCUUCCCUCUUCAUCCUUGUGCGUAACUUUCUUUCUCUGUCCUCUGUCUUCUAUCUGCACCGAAAUGGAUCGAUGGAGCAAAAUGAAGAUCAACCAAUCUCCUUUUCAAGCCCCUUUUCUCUCAAUCUCUCUUUUACAUCCUUUCCAACAUAUCUCAAUUAUUUGUUCUACUUCAAAAAACAUUUAGAUGGAUACCCUCUUGAGCCACCCAAGAUGAAAUUCAUAACAAAAGUUUGAUAUAGUUUUGGAACUUCUACGGAGAGAAAAGAGAUAUGGGAUACAACCUGAUGAAGAUCUUGAUUUACUAAAUAAGGCCCUUGCGCUAGGGGAGCAGAAAACAAGUAUAUAUGCAGAAUAUAUAAUGAAGGGUUCAACUCAAUGUAGCAAUUGUCAAGGGACUCGAUUUGUACGAGAUGGUUAGGAAAGCCACACCAAUCUAUAAAGACUAGGGGUUGUUGUUCAAAUUACUAGAGUUCUAGAAAGUACGAGGUUGCAGUGCUUAUUCUGAUUAAAACAAAAUCCGAGUAUGAACCGAAUUGUCAUAUUUUGUUGCACCAACAAAAAAUUUCCAUUAUUUGAUUUGGAAAGUAGAAUUAUUAUUUACUCUACGAAAGUCGUUCACGAAAAUGCAAGCGAGGAUUUCAAAUA